AAUAUUAUUAUUGUCGAGUUUUGUCGGUGUACGAAAAUACUCACUUAAGGCCUCGGGGGCCUCGUCGCUUCGGCGGAAUAUCACAUGCUUGCGUGCGUGCGUGCGUAUGACAGGUGGAGGGGGGUCCUAUGUCUCUGUGGUAUAAUAUAAUAUCAUCAAAAUAAUGAUAUUAUUAUGUAGUUGUAUGUAUACAGGGUGAUUCAUAAAACAUGCUUACCCCCAUUUUUUCCCUUCAAUAUUGAAUUUAUUCAAAGUUUUAUUUUUUGACAUUUUUAAGGGGAUUUUCAUAAGAACCAUAGGUAUUACGUUCAGUUAUUUAGAUUUCUUAUGCAAUUUAAGGAGUGUCCCGUAGUGUAAAUACUUACAUAUUAAAAAAAAAAAUAAUCACCUUUUUUCCUCUAAAUUGUUUAGCAGAUAACUCUUUUGAACAUUUUGAUGUAGGUAUAUAACGUGUGGCUUAUUACAUAGUAAGGAUUAUAACCUUGGUUUAUGAUAAUAGGUUCAGAAAAGAAUAUGGGAGCUAUGAUUUCACAGUUAAUAUAGUAAUUAAUAAUCAAUGUUUUAUAAUUUAUAAAAAGUGUCUAUAUAAUAAUAAAUACUAUAGAUAAACAUGAAAUAUUGAAAUCUACCUAUAUUUUAUAUUUUUGUAAAACUAUAUAUCUAAACAUAUUAUCCUUAGAAGUUAGAAUACAUCCCAAUAACUCUGAAACUACCAACCUAUUAGUUCAAAUCGAUAUUCAAAUUGUGAUUUAUACCUUGGUUAUUAUUUGAAAAAACUAAUUUGCAUAGCCAUAGGACACUCCAUAAAAGGUAUAAAAAUCAGAAUUAGAAUACAUUUAUUAUUAAAGAAAAAAUGGGGAAGAGUCGUAGAGCAUAAUAAUGAUGAUGCUUUGUAGUUUGUGAAUCAUCUCGUAUAUGCAUAUCGCAAAUGCCGGUGUGUAUAUAAUGUAUAAUAUAUACCAAAACCAAACAUAUGAUGCGGUAUUGACUAUCUACAUUCUACACUACACCACUAUAUGCAUAUAAUAGGACUUGAAACACCCAUGUAUCUAGUGUUUUAUCUUUCAUAUAUCCGUCUUAGCUUCAAGAUUUUAGAUCAAUUCAUAUAUGCUUAAUAUCCAUGAUAUAUUGUAGGCAUAUCAAUUUAUACAUAGACCCAUAUAAUAUAUUAUAAGCUAUAGGAUCAGCUUAAGAAGUUCCUACUUGUGACAUUAUUGAUUAACCGUUUAUAAUAUAUAUCAAUUUUUUACGUUAAAGAUUCUGAGGAAGUCGAUAAAUGUAUUGAUUUUACAAUCAUGUGUUUUUUUUGUCUGUUGUCAUUUUUUGGGACACUAAAAAUUCUUUGAUUUUCUUCAACAGCAUCUUUUCUGGUAGCCGGUAGGAAAGUGAAUUUAGUUGUUAUACGUAGGAGGUUAAGAGUAAAAAAUUCCCAAUAGUUUUCAAAAGCAUCAGGAAAAACAAACAAACAACUAAGAAUAAACUGAGAUUUUUAGGCAAAAGCAAUUUAAAAAAAAAUCUAUUUGAUUGUUUUAGUGUAACUCAAAAAAAAAAAACCCGUGGUACAGAUACAUGACAUUUUCACCGAAUGUUUAUAUUAGAAAUUCCUAUGCACCACAACAUUUUUGAAAUAUUUAUUUUGUACUGUAUAAACAUAAGACAAAUUCUAGUAUUAUUAGUUUUUUUCAAAAAUUAUUGUAAGAAUAUUAUUCAUGGGUACUUGAGAUUUUUAGAGUACAUUAAUACCAGAGACAGAAACACAUUUUAUUAAAUUAAAGCGAGCGGCUCACUAUGUGAGUUGCCAAUAGACAUGACGUACCUAUCAAUGUAUAAAUACAUAUAGGGACAGAGUGAAGUUAAUAACAAUUACACACAAUGGUAUUUUCAAGUAUAAUAUUUUCUUGCAAAAAUGUAUUUAACUCGCUGCAGUACUAACGCCUAAUAGUAAAAUGAGUUACUUUAAUCACAGUAGUAUGAUACUAACCUAACCUACUGACAGAGCGUAUUCGCUCAGACAGAAACGUUUUUCGUGUAGUUACAAUGAUUAUUCAAUUCAAUUUAAAAACAUCCAUUACAGUGACUCUCUGACACCUAAUGUACAGCAGAGUGUUACUCACUUACAACUUACUUGAUUUUUUAAAAAUUAUAUAUUUAAUGACACAUAAAUACAUAGUAUAUGAAUUUACUUUGAUAACCUGCACCAAAAUUUUUCUAAAAACGUUGAUGUUUAUAUUAAUUUAAUGUUUUUCAUUUAUAAGCAUUUAAAGAUUUAAAGUUUUAAGUCUAAAUUACCGAAUUUUUAGUCCAUUAUUAUAUCGUGCAUAUUAUUAUACAACUCAUACUAGAUUUUUUGAACAAUUAAAAAGUAUUAUACACUUUGAUAAUAUCAACAAUUUUUGAAAAAGUUAUUCACACGAGACUACAAUAUUAUUUGAACAGCGCAGAUGUUAUCCCAAAGUUUCAUUUUGGGUUUAGAUCCCACCACUCAACCGUACAACUAGUUCGCAUAACGGAACAUAUCAGCACUUCCUUUGAAAAGCAUUGCCAUACUGGUGCUGUAUUUUAUAGAUGUCUCAAAAGCAUUUGAUGAAGUAUGGGACGAAGGUCUUUUAUACAAACUAAAAUAUUUCAAUACACCGAAGUACUUAUUCAAUAUUAUCAACUCCUUUCUAACAAGUAGACAAUUCUCAGUUAAAAUAAACGACAAUUUCUCUGACCCCCGGUCUAUCUCUGCUGGUGUACCUCAACUCUCAAGGGUCCAAACUGGGACCUAUAUUGUUCAAUAUAUUCAUAUCUCAUAUAUCGCAGUCACCACGCACAAACAUCGCCCUAUUCGCAGACGAUACAACUAUUUACAGUGAAUCCCGUAACGUAUAAGUGUUAAUUAACACCUUACAAGAUCACUUAAAUUUACUAGCAAAAUGGUGCUAAAGCUGUAAAAUACAAAUAAACGCUUCAAAAAGCACUGCAGUCAUAUUUAGCUUACGUCGCUACUCUACUCCACCACCUCUAAGAUUCGGCAACGAUUCCAUACCUUGGCAGCCUUCUGUCAAGUACCUAGGUGUCACGCUAGACAAGAGGUUAACCUGGAGGCCUCACAUAGCUUCUAAACUUCAACAAGUAUACCAGCGCCUCUCAAUGCUAUUUCCUAUCCUAAACAAAAAAUCAGUUAUACAAAAAAAAUGCUUAUCAUUAAUUUGCAAGCAAUUAUUACGCCCACGAAUUACCUACGCCUGCCCUAUCUGGGGUAACUGUUCAGCGACACACUUAAGGAAAGUACAAAGUUUUCAAAACAAAAUAUUAAGAAUAAUAACAAACGCACCAUGGUUCAUACGCAACGAAAAUCUACAUAAAGAUCUCCGAAUCAUUAAAAUUCAAGAUCAUAUAAGUGCCCUUGCUACAAAUUUCCAUAGUUCACUCUAAAAAUCAACUGGCUCACUACACUUCAAUUUACACAUAUGUCCACCACCUCAAAGACAUCUAAAACGCGCCCUUAUUCAUUAACUAUUAUUAAGUAAAUACUAAAUUAGAAUGUAAAAAUGUAAUUUUAUUCUUCAUCCACACUAUUGUUAUUGUCUAUAUGUCUGAUCAACCUUAAAAUAUUAGUAAUAUUACUAUUGUUAUUAUCGCUAUUAUUAUUACUCAUAAUUAUUAUCAUGUUAAAAUAGUCAAAAAUUAAUGUUACUAAUUAUCCAUAGAUGUAGAUAGCCUAUAUAAACUAGGAAUGUCUUAUUAUAUUAAUAAAAAAAAAAAUACACUUUGAUGUUGACAUUGUACUUACUACUUAUAACUUAUGCAUAUUUUGUUUUACAAAAAUCUACCGAUAAUAUUAGUGUUUUUCAUUCUCAUAAAUGAGUUGUACAUUUUUCAUAAGGUCUUCGAUAAUUUUUUUUUAAUUUAUACCUAAUAUAAUUUUUAUUUUUUUUAGUGUGCAAUUACCUCUGUCGCAUACUUAACGUUAUAAAGUAGUAUUCUAUAGUAUUAUACAGUAUAAUAAUUACAGUUAUUAAUGUACAUUAUACUCGUAAAACAUACUAUAUUAUAGUAUAAGUGUACCUACACCGUAGUUGACCGUACACAUACAAGUAUAAAAUGCACAUUAUUGUCGGAUUUUUAUUCUGUAAGUACUUACGAACUACGUUCGAAAAUUUGGCAGUUUGGAUAGGACCGGUCGGCGUUACAACAAUAUUAUCAUAUACAAAUAUCUACAACAAUUUAUCAGUAGAUAUAUAUAUAUAUAUAUAUAUAGUGUAUAAUAGUGUAUAGUAAUAUAUCAUAAUAAUGUCUUGUGAAUUAUUAGAGGUACACGUGUGUAAAUUAUAAAAAUACCACGUCAUGUUUAUGUUACGUAUAUUUUGUCUGCUGAACUUAGUAUACAUAGUAAUUAGCAGGGCUCGGGACUUUAUGCAUUUGCAUAUUUGUUCGGGAAGUAAAUAGAAUAAAACUGAUCCGAUACAAAUUUGUGUUGUGGUAUUUAGAGUUAAAGUUUAAAAGUUUAUUGUGCAUAUGUUUGCAUAUUUUGGAAUUUUUUUCUACAAAUGCAUAUUUUUAAUAUUUAUUGAUUUUUAUUGCAUAUUUUAAAAUAACUUUUGAUUAUUUACUCUUAAAUCAUAAUGUAUUGAAGAAAAAUGUUGGUCUUGCUAUGCUAAAGAAAAUUAAAAACAUUCUUAACGGUGAAUUAAUUGACAUGAAAGACUUACCAGAAGACUUAGAUAUUAAUGAUCUGACAUAUUUUAAAUAUGCUCCCAUCACAUCGGUAAACGUAGAAAGAUCAUUUUCCGCCUAUAAAACUUUACUUACAAAUAAUAGAAGGUCUUUCAAAGUCGAGAACAUAAAAAAACAUUUGAUAAUCCAGUGUAACGCAAGUAUAGAAGAUGCUGAGUGUUGAAAAAUCCAAAGACCUCCCAUUCAACAGUUUUUACAUUUUUUUUUUUAGUAAUAUAG